UCCCAUAACAUUUCAUUCUCCGCCUAAAUAGGAAAUUCUACGACAUUAUUGCAUGAUCGCACCACAUUCCUCUACAAUCUUUAUUGAAUAGUAAUAAUGUAGUUGGGUUGGAAAGACUGGAAAUUUGAAACCCUAGCUGGAAAUUCGAAAUUUAGAGACAAAAAACGUUCAUUUCUUUUGCCUUUCCCAGUUAUUCCUUGUUUUGUUUUCAUGCAUUCCCCUUUGUCUCACAUCCCUUUAUCUCAAUUUUGGAAGCUCCUUUAUCCCAGGUAGGUUUGAUUAAUUUCGGGGGUUGAGAGAUAUGGGAAAGCCUACCACCGCUAGGAGGAGAUACCAAAUAGGGUCGAAAUCCGACGCGAAGGCCGGCAAACGCGAUGAAGACACCGCCAUUUUCAUCUACAUGUCUAAGGAACUGAAGCAAGAAGGGAAGAGGUUGUACCAGAAACACGACCACGAGGGCGCCAUGUCCAACUAUGAGAAGGCUCUCAAAUUGCUGCCGCCCAAUCAUAUCGAUGUUGCAUCGCUGCGGACUAACAUGGCAGCUUGUUACAUGCAAAUGGGGAUCGGUGAGCACCCGAGAGCUGUGAACGAGUGCAAUUUGGCUCUUCAAGUAGCUCCCAAGUUUAGCAAGGCUCUGCUUAAGCGGGCGAGGUGCUAUGAGGCUUUGAAUCGGCUUGACUUGGCUCUAACAGAUGUGAGUAUUGUGUUGAGCAUGGAGCCUAAUAAUGCCACUGCUUUGGAGAUCGCGGAGAAUGUGAGAAGGGGGAUUGAGAAAGGCGGCCUUCAGAUUGGAGAUAAGGAGGUUCUUUUGCCCCAUGAGAAUGUUCCUCUGCCUGUACCCCCGCCCCCGCCUGUGCCUGGAAAGAUUGCCAAAGAGAAGGGGAAAAGGAAGAAAAAUACCAAGUUGAAGAAUGUGAAUGAAGUUGUGGAAAAGAAGACAGAGCAUAAGGUGGUUGUAGAGGAGAAAGUGGUUAUGAAGUCGGUGAAAUUGGUUCAUGGUGAGGAUAUACGAGGGGCGCAGUUGCCUGUCAAUUGCGGGGCUCGUCUGUUGAGGGAUAUAGUUGUUGACAGGUUCCCAAGUUUGAUGGGUGUACUGAUCAAGUAUAAGGAUCAAGAAGGGGACUUGGUUACCAUCACUACCACGGAUGAGCUGAGGGUAGCUGAAGGACUGGUUCAUCCUCAAGGAUUUUUUAGACUGUACAUUGCUGAAGUUAGUCCUGACAAAGAACCUAUUUAUGAAGGCACGGGCAUUGAAGAAGCGUUAAGCAAAGGCCAUCAGAAACCAUUGGUGGUGACAAAGAACAUUCAUGCAGAUGACAAAGGGUCAACUUGUAUUGAGGAUUGGAUCGUCCAGUUUGCAAGUCUGUUCAAGAGUCAUGUCGGGUUUGACUGUGAUUCAUACAUGGAUAUUCAGCAAAUGGGAAUGAAAUUAUAUUCAGAAGCACUGGAACAUACUGUUACAAGUAAAGAAGCUCAAGAGUUAUUUGACAUAGCUGCAGCCAAGUUCCGGGAGUUAACUGCUUUAGCCUUGUUUAACUGGGGAAACGUUCACUUGUCUAAGGCAAGGAAAAGGAUGGCUUCUGAUGCAGAUAGUUUAUCUGAAGCCACUGGAUCAUCAGUGGUGCAGGUUAAAGAUGCUUAUGAUUGGGCACAAAAACAAUACACAAAGGCGGGCAUGAAGUACGAGGAAGCUCUUAAAGUCAAGCCAGACUUUUAUGAAGGGUAUCUUGCUCUUGGCCUGCAGCAAUUUGAACAAGUGAAGCUUUCCUGGUAUUAUGUGCUUGGGAGCAAGUCUGACUUAGAGAUAGGCUCAUGUUCACAGAUAUUGGAACUAUAUAACAAAGCUGAAGAUAGCAUGGAGAAAGGGAUGCAAAUCUGGGAAGAGAUUGAAGAACAACGCCUUAAUGGAAUCUCGAAAUAUGAAACAGAUAAAGCUUUGUUUCAAAAAUUUGGUUUAGGUGGGUUAUUUAAAGAUAUCUCAGCUGAUGAAGCUUCUGAGCAAGCUAAAAAUAUGAGGUCCCAGAUCAAUCUCUUAUGGGGUACAAUGCUGUAUGAGCGUUCCCUUGUGGAAUAUAAGUUGAGCCUCCAAACUUGGGAAGAAUGCCUAGAGGUUGCAGUUGAAAAGUUUGAACUUGCUGGAGCAUCAGAAACAGAUAUUACUGUACUAAUAAAAAAUCAUUGCUCGAACGACACUGCUUUAGAAGGAUUCAAGGUCGACGAGCUAGUACAGGCAUGGAAUGAGAUGUAUGAUUCUGAUAGGUGGCGAUCUAACGUGACAUCUUCCCACAUGGAACCGCUUUUCAGAAGACGCUCUUCUGACCUUCAUUCAGCUAUGGAGAAUUUUGAGUGACUUUUGUUGAUAAUUCAAUAGAAGGCCAUAACAUUAGAGUUAUUUGUAAGUGCUUGUUUACCCCUGGAUUCUUUAGGUUACAAAUAGUAGUAGUUGUAAUGGGUCUUUUCUGUUUAGUUGAAGCGAAGAAAAGGAGUCCCAAUUACAUGUUGGUGUCACAUUUCUCUUUUUUUGUUGGUUUAGUUGCAAAGUUGGAUGAUUAGGGUUGGAUUGAUCUGUCUGGCCCAGUCUCUGUGUUUUUUUAUUGGGAGAGAGACGUACAAAGCAUAAUAGGAUUUAAGUAGUAAUUGUGUAUUAUAUUUUAUUUUUAAUUAUAUUUAUAUUUUAUAUUAAAUUGUUUUAUUA